AAUCUGACCUCAAAUCAGGUAGGGCUACCCGCUGAACUUAAGCAUAUCAAUAAGCGGAGGAAAGGAAACUAACAAGGAUUCCCUCAGUAACGGCGAGUGAACCGGGAAGAGCUCAAAUUUGUAAUCUGGCGUGCUCUGUGCGUCCGAGUUGUAAUCUAUAGAAGUGUUUUCCGCGCCGGAUCGUGUCCAAGUUCCUUGGAAUAGGAUAUCAUAGAGGGUGACAAUCCCGUCCUUGACACGACUACCGGUGCUCUGUGAUACACUUUCUACGAGUCGAGUUGUUUGGGAAUGCAGCUCAAAAUGGGUGGUGAGUUCCAUCUAAAGCUAAAUAUUGGCGAGAGACCGAUAGCGAACAAGUACCGUGAGGGAAAGAUGAAAAGCACUUGAAAGAGAGUAAACAGUA
rnacentral:rRNA from 1 species